GUAAGCCAAAGUCCCCAGGGGAGGUUCAAACACAGGGAGCUCGUGGACAAACACCAAAUGCAGAAGAGCAGAGACGGGUCAAGCAGAUGCUUAUCAUAAGCCAGAGGACAACCCCCUUCUACGUUCAUCUGGAAUCACGGAGGUCAGCUGCCUCACACCUCAGGCCAAGAGAGGGAGUGGUGACACUGUGGCACUGAGAGAAUGAGGACUGACUCUGAAGGGCUGGCUAAUCCCUCCUGGGAGCAGGGAAUGAGGACAGUGCUGAAAGCAAUUUUGAAUGCUUUUGUUUGUGACCACCAAUUCUUUGUCAUUUUCCCCCUACAAAGUAUGUUACAAAGUAACCUGUGAGAUGACUGCAGUGAAAUUACAGGUUACAGCGAAAACAUGGUCAGGGCAAGGAGCUUCCCAGUGGG
rnacentral:lncRNA from 1 species